rnacentral:rRNA from 1 species
GUGAGGAAUAUUGGUCAAUGGGCGAGAGCCUGAACCAGCCAAGUCGCGUGAAGGAUGAAGGUUUUAUGAAUUGUAAACUUCUUUUGCAGGGGAAUAAAGUACGGUACGUGUACCGUUUUGUAUGUACUCUGCGAAUAAGGAUCGGCUAACUCCAUGCCAGCAGCCGCGGUAAUACGGAGGAUCCAAGCGUUAUCCGGAUUUAUUGGGUUUAAAGGGUGCGUAGGUGGUUUGAUAAGUCAGCGGUGAAAGUUUGCAGCUUAACUGUAAAAAUGCCGUUGAAACUGUCGGACUUGAGUGUAAAUGAGGUAGGCGGAAUGCGUGGUGUAGCGGUGAAAUGCAUAGAUAUCACGCAGAACUCCGAUUGCGAAGGCAGCUUACUAAGCUACAACUGACACUGAAGCACGAAAGCGUGGGGAUCAAACAGGAUUAGAUACCCUAGUAGUCC